rnacentral:rRNA from 1 species
GACGAACCGUGCGAACGUUAUUCGGAAUCACUGGGCUUAAAGCGCGUGUAGGCGGCCCGGCACGUCGGACGCUGAAAUCCCCCGGCUCAACCGGGGAAGGGGCGCCGAUACGACCGGGCUGGAGGGGGGUAGGGGGCGCCGGAACUUCCGGUGGAGCGGUGAAAUGCGUUGAGAUCGGAAGGAACGCCCGUGGCGAAAGCGGGCGCCUGGACCCCACCUGACGCUGAGACGCGAAAGCCAGGGGAGCGAACGGG